rnacentral:tRNA from 1 species
CGUAGCUCAGUGGAUAGAGCGUCGGUUUCCUAAACCGUGCGUCGCAGGUUCGAUUCCUGCCGGG